UACGAAGGGAGCUAGCGUUGUUCGGAAUCACUGGGCGUAAAGCGCACGUAGGCGGAUUUGUCAGUCGGUGGUGAAAUCCCGAGGCUCAACCUCGGAACUGCCUCCGAUACAGCAAAUCUCGAGUCCGGGAGAGGUGGGUGGAAUUCCUAGUGUAGAGGUGAAAUUCGUAGAUAUUAGGAAGAACACCAGUGGCGAAGGCGGCCCACUGGCCCGGUACUGACGCUGAGGUGCUAAAGCGUGGUGAGCAAACAGG
rnacentral:rRNA from 1 species